ensembl:lncRNA
UUUUUUUUUGUUUUUUGUCUUUUUCUUUUAGGGCUGCACCCAUGGCAUAUGGAGGUUCCCAGGCUAGGGGUCCAAUCAGAUCUGUAGCCACCGGCCUCCACCACAGCCACAGCAAUGCGGGCUCCAAGCCGUGUCUGCGACCUAUACCACAGCUCAUGGCAAUGCCGGCUCCUUAACCCACUGAGAGAGGCCAGGGAUCAAACCUGCAUCCUCAUGGAUGCUAGUUGGAUUCGAUAGCCGCUGAGCCACGAUAGGAACUCGGUACUUAAUCUUUCAAAUUCAGUUGUGCAUUUUACACUGAGAACGCAUCUUGAUUGGGACCAGCCACAUGUCAAGUGCUCAAUUGUCACAGUGACUGUGUCAUUGGACAGUACAACCUUAGAUGCUGGAAUUUUCCAAAUUCUCUUGAUUCAUUCUAUAACACCCACCCCCCCAUUUGAUUUUUCUCCAUUUUCCAGUUUCCAUCUUCCCUUAGCCUUGGCCCCCAGCACCACAAGUUAGGAUUACUGUACCAGCCUUGUAACAGCACUCAUAUCUCUCAUUUUUCUCCAAUCCAGCCUGGGCAUCAUAUGCUCAGAUAAAGUACCAUCUUUAGCUUAUAUCUCUCUGGCUCAAAAAAGUUCCAGGGAUUGCCCAGUACCCCUAGGAAAAGUGCAAAGGACUUGGAUUUGCAGCCAAGAUCCUCUCUAAUAUUUCUGCCCCACAAUAAAAAUCCUAAUCGUAAAAGCAGCCUAUUACUGCACAGAGCUUACCGUAUGCCAGACACUGGCCUAUUUGCCAGGGACCAUCAAUACAUUACCCUACUGCCUUCUCACAAUCACCCUGUGAGAAAGUCUCUGUAUUUUCAUCCCCAUUUUAUAAAUGAAGAAAUGGAGGCACACAGAGGUUAAGUAGGUACCUAGUGUCAAAAAGCCAGCAAGCUGCUUGGCUGGGAUUUGAGCCCAGGCGGUCUGCUUCCAGAGGCCCAGCUAGAACCUGCUAUGUAUACGGCUGCGGGGGCAGGGGGCUGUCACUCCAUGCCGUUCCUUGGCUUUGUAGGCUGUGUUUUCAAGUGCCAUCUGCAAAUCUCCACUCAAAUUCUGCCUGCUUCUCUUGACCUCUUUGAACUCACACUCCUUUUUGGUGAGGUCACAUUUUUACUUCUUCCAGGAAGGUCUCCCUAAUUACUUUUGCUUACAGUGAUUAAUUCCUUUUACGAAUUCCUAUUAUAUACUUAAAAUUCAGGGGUUCAAGGACCCCUAAACCAUGGCCCAUGUGCAAGAGAGGGAGGCCAGGGGGACUGUGAAUGAAUUCUCUAAAAUUGUAUCCAAAAUUCGGUGUGUGCCUAUGUUUAUUUUUUCUGAAGUGAGCGAUCAUUACAAGGGGGGGGGUUCACAAUAUGAUUUCAAAGCUUAAUUGUAUGUUAUUUAAUGCUUCUUGUUAUGUAACUGACUUUGUGUGUGUGAACACUGUCUUCCCCCUAAGUGGUGGGGAGUUUAGCUCAAUGACAAUAGUAUAGCAAGUACAUUUAUUCAUUACUUAAGUAGGUGCCAGCUACUAUAUCAAGUCUUCUCUGCAGAUGUCAGGUCACUUAAUACUGUCUGCAGCUCUAAGAGGUUGGAAUUUUUACACCCACUGAGACUGAUGCUCAGGAAGCUUACAUAAUUUGCCCAAGAUCAGAAAGCUAUAGAAAGUGGUAGAAAGAGGCUUUGCACCCAGAUCUCUCCUACUUCAAAGCCACGCCCUUAACCAGGCAGGUGAGUUAUCCAUGCCAUCUUCCCUCUCAGAUUGACUAAGGCAGAGAAUGGGUCCUCCAUAAAUACCUGGGUUAGAUUAAGACAUGCGACAUAGCAACCAGUACAACACAUCAGCCAGUGUGAACCUAGCACCCAGGGGUAUUAAUGUGCUCAGGGUUUGUUUUCUUAGAAACGGGAUACACCCUGCUGGCUCCUUCCCACAGGUAUCCUGAAAAAUAUUGCCUGUUCCAACGCAAAGGUAGUUACCCACCUGCCUGGUUCCCUUUACAGCUCUGAGAAGCUGGGGUGGAGUCCCCGGGACUCCGAUGCACUUGACUCGGGCCAGUUUCUGGGACUCUGAAGUCCACCUGCAGCAGGGGCCAGCCACUUGUGUGAUGCCCAGAUUCUCGGGGCAGUACUGCUUUGCACCCCCAACUGUGCCCCACACAGGUUUGCAGCCACUGAAGGGGGCCAUGGCAAUAGCUCUCUGAUGUGCACUGCAGAGGGGCAGGGCCCACCCCCACCCCUACCCCCACAAGGGUCCAGCCACGUGGAGGCCAGUGUUUACCAUCAAGACCGAGAGUGACCUUGACAAACAAGUUUUACUCUCUUACCAGCCUAGCGAGACUAGCUGAGAGAUGACUUGCUCAUGUCUGCCUGGCUGGCUUAGGACAGCAGGAUGUCCCAUUUGUUAAUCCAUAAGUGAAAAAAACACAUGAAUGAAUAAAUUCCACAACCCCUUAGUAUGGAGAACGAAGGCUAACAUCAGCAGAGUGCUUUCUCUGUGCCGGGAACUGGGUGUUCAGGGCUUUAUGUAAAGUUAUUUACUGUUUACAACAUCCCUGAAAGAAAUUACUAAGCACACACAAGUGUGGCUAUUUAUAUGUCUACCUCCAAAAAUACAAAUGGGAGCAAGUUACAUGCACUGGUCUGUACCUUUUUUUUUUUUUUUUUUUUUUCAAAUUUGAACUAAUGUUAUAUCUGGAGGUCACGGUGCAGGUGGCAUUAUUAACCCACUUUCCAGAUGAGGAAAUGGCCACUCUCCAGGGCUGC